rnacentral:snRNA from 14 species
AUACUUACCUUAAUCAGCUCAGUGAGGCUCAAGAUUUUCGCUGCGCAAGAGGAGAGGCCUGCAUUGCACAUCGCGGAGUCGAUCCUCUUCGAUUGCCCUACGGGGCCAUCGUGGUUACAAUUUUUGAUUUUCCUUUUUCAUUGUGCGCAUUGCCGUGGG